rnacentral:tRNA from 1 species
AAGGCGGUGGCUGAUUGGUGAAGCAUCAGACUGUAACUCUGAGGUCCUGUACUAAAGUAGGUUCGAUUCCUACCCGCCUCA